rnacentral:rRNA from 1 species
UACGGGGGGGCAAGCGUUGUUCGGAAUUACUGGGCGUAAAGGGCUCGUAGGCGGCCAACUAAGUCAGACGUGAAAUCCCUCGGCUUAACCGGGGAACUGCGUCUGAUACUGGAUGGCUUGAGUGUGGGAGAGGAAUGCGGAAUUCCAGGUGUAGCGGUGAAAUGCGUAGAUAUCUGGAGGAACACCGGUGGCGAAGGCGGCAUUCUGGACCAUUACUGACGCUGAGGAGCGAAAGCCAGGGGAGCAAACGGG